UUUAAUCAUCCCAAUUUUUUUGUCUUACCACAGUUAAGAAAUACGAUUCAUGUUUGCUAUUGCAUUUGGAGCUCCAUCCUUACAACUUAUGGAUAAUAUGAAUACAUCAAGGUGUUUUGGUUCUCCCCAUUCUGUAUGUUCGCAAUGGAGUGUAUAUAUUGUUGAUUUAUGUCAUGGUGAUUGAAUUUGAUUGCAGAGAGAAAGUGCAAAAGCUAUGGGCAAUCCUAUAUGACUGGCGCCAUCAGUAAGGAUUUAUUUAAAGCUAGCUUACUUUUGGGUCUAAGCCAAGUUUAUUUCUUUCGCAGAUUUAUUCACCUUAUUGGGACGGUGGGGUUAAUAUAUAUACAUCAACUUUGAGCAUCAGCAACGCAUGAAGCUUGCUUCUGAGGCUGCAACAUACUUUGCAAUCCCCCUGUGAAACAUACUUUUGUCACUAUGCACAUAUGGUUAUUCGAACGAAUUGAUUUCGAUUAGACUAUCUUUUUCCUAAUUACUUGUUAUAUGAUGUUCUUUACUAUUCAGAGGUUGUUGAAGGGAGAUGGGGCUCUUCUGGCCCCUUUGGUGCAAAAGCACAAGCAACAGCAUCUACAGCUGACCACUCAUAGCCUAGGAUGUCCUGCAGAUUUGAUCUAUUUUGGAUAGAGACAUGGAAUCAAACCACAGGAUACCCAAGCAGUGCGUACAAAUUGUAGUGGUGCUUGUAGCUUAUCAUCAAUCUGCCAUUAUUAUUUGUAUGUAUGUGUUCAAAACGACCACCUAGAGAUUCUUGAUUUGCUCCUGGCUGCACCGUUGGGUUUCUCGCGGCUUUGUUUCGUUUGAGUUCUAUUGUUCAAAACUGAAUUUGUUGAUGCUUAGAGUUUGGACUGGUCCGUUUGAUACGUCUGCACUCGUGAUGCGGAACAUUUUCCAACAUAGUGUGGGUUCAGAAGUGAGGAAAACAAUUGGCUUGCAGGGUUCAGGCUACUUUCUUGUGCUUGUUUUGCCUUGUGAUUACUUGAAACUGCAACCUGCAGGUUGAAUGGGCGCUUUAUAUUUUAGGGCGGAAGACUGAAGCAAAGAAAACUGCGGCUCUUUAGUAUAUCUUCAGAUUUGCGGCUCUUUGAGCUGUGGUACAUUUGAUUCGAGACCCGGAUGAGGUCGGUUAAAUUAGGAUUAAAGUCCGCACAAUAACUAGGAACACUGAACAAGCAAGGCUAUUCAGAUGAAGUCUGCACUUAAUACUAUAGGUUUCUUUUUGGGCUCUUGUACAGCUUCGCUAGCAUCAUGAAUUAAUUGUGGGAUAUGAUGCACAGUAGUAGCUUCUUCUGUUUAUUUUAGAAAUCUUAGUUUAUAGGUUUCCUUUUCGUCUCUUGUACUAAUGUUCAGGGUAAUGGAAAUCUUGUAUGAUAAUCUGCACAUAGUUGAUACUAACAACAUAAUGAUGACAUGUUUGUUUUUGGGCAUAAAGUUAUGUGCUGAUCCUCUUGCAUUUGGAUUCCGGUCUUACCCUGACUAUGCGGAUAUGCUAUUCUAGGUUGGUUUUACGUUUCUUAUUGGAAGAGUGAGAUGCCCAGGACAGAAUCCAGUUUGUAUCAACGCCUCAUUGGGAUGGAGGGCAGUCAGCAUCCACCUCGAGGCAGAGGGGUGGGCAGAAGGACGGUCGGUGUUCAACUCUCUACGGUUCAAAACCAAGUCCAUCCAAGCCUCAAAGUAUAAAGAAGGCGCCUAGACACUCGAUGGGUGGUGUAAACCGUAGGGUGUCCAUUGGUGGAGCCAUGAUGCAAGCAUCCAAAACAGACAUAUUGUAUACGAAGAAUGUUCAUGCUGCCAAGAGAAGUGAAGACAUUGCCCAUUUGUCCCCUGGGUGGGCGUGUAACUAGAAAACAAAACACUAUGGCGGCAAAUGAGACUAUCGAACCGAACUGAUUGUACUGAAAACUAGGACCUAAACUUGUGCUACUGGCCAACCUUUUCUUCAGGGAAUGCCAAGAUAUUUGCCAAACAAAGCCAUAGGAUGGUGCUAUACACAGAGGACAACCUAUCAGGGAGUCCACUAAUGACCAGAUGGGUAUCUUGUCGCUCAUCUACAGCAAGUCGGGCUCCAGUGUGUUUGGGUCAGCGUCCACGGAGGAGCAGAUAACUGACGGCAUUUACGCUGCCGGGCUCACUAUCCUCAUCACACGUGACCACAACCCACCCAACCGACUGUUACAAUGGUCGUGGAGCUUCUUGGAUUAAACUUGCAAAGAGUAGUACUGGAAAGCUUCAUUUUCGUAAGAUGCUCUGGCAAUACAAAAGGCAGGAAGACCAUACGAAGACCAAUACAAAAAGGAGGAUGCAUGAGCUUCAGAUCUGAUUGAAUUUAGUCGGAAGAUGGAGACUUGAAGGAGGAAUUAGUGGAGAAUAGGAAGGUGGAUAGAACAUGGGAACAAAUCAAAUACGUGUAUGUAUGACAUGGUGCUUUUUUUAAUCUCUUGCGUAUGUCAAUAUUUUUCUACAGUUACAUAUAUACAACUGAAUCACAAAGGAUUUUUUUUAUUAGGUACACCAUAGAAUAGUCUCACAUCUUGGUUUAUUUAUUACCCUGUUUAAAUAUCGACCAACAUGCUUGUCAAAUUUAUAAUUUGUGUGUGUGUGCGUUGUAGUGAUCUGAUAUUUUCAUGACUAUUCAUAUCAAUGAUUAUGCUUGCCCCAUGAGAAACACACGAAGAACAAAAGAUUGUGAGAUAGGGAGGGGAAGGGAAAGAUGACGAGGAGAUGUAUUUAUCUACCGCAUCACAAGCAUGCAAUAUCAUCGCAUGUUGUCUAUCACUCCCAUAUCACAUGGCAUUUCUCUUUGUAUAUACAUUUUUAGUAGCAUAUUUUUUGUUGUGCAUAUAUUUUGUUAGCCCGUGGCAACGCACGGGCAUCCUAUAUUCUGUUACGCGUAACAGAAUA